rnacentral:lncRNA from 1 species
GAUCUAAUUUCUUAUUAAAGAGGGAAUCUACAUCAAAAUAGGAAGCAGUCCUAAGUUUCCUAAAGCAAGAAAAUCUCUACACUUGUUGCCCUUUUCUGUGAGCAGCUCAACAGGUGUGGGGGCAUUUGUGGAGCCAAAAAUAAUCACAAGACGACACGUGAAUUUUUUGGUAAAAAGACAAAAUUACCCUCGAGGCACAUCGGGAUUCCUACGCGCGAACAAUGAGCAAUCAUCCAUCAACCAAGUCAAAAGUGCCCAAAAUAGGUAACAAUUCCAAAACCUAUUUCAUUAAUCCUCAUCAAAUCCUCUC